UUUUUUUUUGGUUUUAUAUCUCUUAAGU
rnacentral:sRNA from 1 species